UGGGGAAUUUUGGACAAUGGGCGAAAGCCUGAUCCAGCAAUGCCGCGUGUGUGAAGAAGGCCUUCGGGUUGUAAAGCACUUUUGUCCGGAAAGAAAUCCUUGGCUCUAAUACAGUCGGGGGAUGACGGUACCGGAAGAAUAAGCACCGGCUAACUACGUGCCAGCAGCCGCGGUAAUACGUAGGGUGCAAGCGUUAAUCGGAAUUACUGGGCGUAAAGCGUGCGCAGGCGGUUUGCUAAGACCGAUGUGAAAUCCCCGGGCUCAACCUGGGAACUGCAUUGGUGACUGGCAGGCUAGAGUAUGGCAGAGGGGGGUAGAAUUCCACGUGUAGCAGUGAAAUGCGUAGAGAUGUGGAGGAAUACCGAUGGCGAAGGCAGCCCCCUGGGCCAAUACUGACGCUCAUGCACGAAAAGCGUGGGGAGCAAAACAGGAUUAGAUACCCUGGUAGUCCACGCCCUAAAACGAUGUCAACUAGUUGUUGGGGAUUCAUUUCCUUAGUAACGUAGCUAACGCGUGAAGUUGACCGCCUGGGGAGUACGGUCGC
rnacentral:rRNA from 1 species